GCCUUGGGGAGAGCAAGUGACUGAUGGUAUAUGGCAGGUGUGAGACAACAGCGUGGGGUGGGUGUGAGCAUGUCACAUGAUUGUGUGGGUUAGCUGGGUGGGGAGGGUUUUGUGCUUGAGUCUGUGAGGAGGCACUGCGUCCUGGGCUCCCGGCUGUGAAUCUGAGCCCAGGAGUGGGUCAACCCGUCUGUGGACACACUGAUAACAAGAAACCCAGAGCUUCCCCUGCUGAACCCAUGCCUUAGGGGAGUGUGCACGUGCAUAUGUGCCUGCCAGGGGCCACUGAGACCGCCGGUCCCCCUCAGCCCGCUGCAGGCAGUUCCUCUCCCAAAAUCUCCCAUUUGGAGCGUAGGUCAGUGUUUGAUGGUCCAUUUGUUCUGUUUUAAGUAUGGACUGCUUGGAAAAAACAGCUGAAGAAAAUGGAGGAAAAUAUGUUAAUUUGUCGUGGGUAGUUUGUUCAGUGUUUACAGCUGGGGGAAAAAGAGAGGAUAGGUACAGGUGUAGAUGCAGGUGUGGGUGUAGGUGCAGGUGCGUGUGGGUGUAGGCACUGGUGUAGAUGCAGGUGCGGGUAUGAGUGUAGGUACAGGUGUAGAUGCAGGUGUGGGUGUGUAGAAGUCAUCAGUUCACUCCCACCCUCUCUGCUCCACGCCCACUGCCUGCCACCAAGGCCAGGAGUUUGUGCAGAAGUUGGUGCAGGCCAUGGGCUGUUGUCUAAGUGUCUGGGCUGCAGGCUAAGAGUGUUGCGCUGAGUGCCUGACUCUCCGUGCCCGUAGCCAGC
rnacentral:lncRNA from 1 species